CUCUGAUAUUCCAUGACUUGGACAAAAAAUAUACAUUUCCCUGACUUUAAAUGUCUUGAAAGACUUUAAAAAUUCCAUGGUAUUCCAGAAAUUCAAUGGCCUGUGGGAACCCCGUUUCAUAGCAUUUUUAUCUCAUUAUGUUUUAAAAGAAACUGCAGAUGUUUAUUAAUAUUUCUUCUUUCUUACAUCAAAUGGAUUCAUAAAUGUUAUUUACCAUUAGUUGCAUGUUAUUUUGUCAGUGUUGUUACCUUUAAUGAAUAGUUCACACAAAAAGGAAAACUCUGUCAUUGUCGUGUUAAUCUAUACCUGUAUGAAUUUCUUUAGUAUGUUUAAGAUGUUUUGAUAAAUAAUGGUAAGCACACAGUUUGCGGUACUCAUUGACUUCCAUAGUACAAUAAGCCACAAUAAUGUAAAUAUUUAAUCAUUAUUAUUACUAUUUCAAUUAAACAGUAAUUUGUAAUACCCUAAAAGUAUAAACCUUUAUCCAGAAUAAUUAUUCUGUGCGUUCAUUAGAUUUUAUUUGCCUUACAGGUUCACUAUAAAGAACUGCUGGAGUUCAUACAAAGAGCUACUGAUGGCCACAAACAUCACCUUGAUGAGGCAGAGAUUUGGGACCUGGAAUCAGUGACAGAUAACGACAGUAUAACUGAAAACCAGAAAGACUCGUGGCUUCAGAGGUUUCAGAAGAUGGAAAUGGCUAUGCAAAUGUAUGACAUCAAAAAUACAGGUUACAUUGACAGGGAUCAAGCCAAACGUCUGCUACACAACUACAGUCUUAUCUUUAAUCUGAAUCUGAGUCCAUUAAAGAUCAAUGAGGUCACACGUUACUCUCAGCAAGAGGGAAAAGUUAAUCUGGUCUCGGCUCUACAACAGCUUA